GCGCGCGGUGGCGGCGCGAUGCGCUGACGUCAUGCGCGGGCGGACAUGCCGCGCCGCGCCGCGCCGCACCGUGCGGCCCCGCUGCUGCUGCUGGUGGCGCUGGCCGCGCUCGCCGGCUGCUCCGCCAACCCCGACGCCAAGCGCCUCUACGACGACCUGCUCAGCAACUACAACAAGCUGGUGCGCCCCGUGCUCAACGUCAGCGACGCGCUCACCGUGCGCAUCAAGCUCAAGCUGAGCCAGCUCAUCGACGUGAACCUAAAGAAUCAGAUCAUGACGACCAACUUGUGGGUGGAGCAGAGUUGGUAUGACUACAAGCUGUCAUGGGAGCCGCGGGAGUACGGCGGAGUGGAGAUGCUGCACGUGCCCUCCGACCACAUCUGGCGGCCGGACAUAGUCCUCUACAACAAUGCCGACGGUAACUUCGAGGUGACGCUGGCAACGAAGGCAACUUUGAAUUACACGGGACGUGUGGAGUGGCGCCCGCCAGCUAUCUACAAGUCCUCGUGCGAGAUUGACGUGGAAUACUUCCCGUUCGACCAGCAGACGUGCGUCAUGAAAUUUGGUUCGUGGACUUAUGACGGCUUCCAGGUGGACCUGAGACACAUCGACGAAGCACGCGGGACCAACGUGGUGGAGCUGGGUGUCGACCUGUCUGAGUUUUACACCUCCGUGGAGUGGGAUAUCCUGGAGGUACCUGCCGUCAGGAACGAGAAGUUCUACACGUGCUGCGACGAGCCCUACUUGGACAUAACGUUCAACAUCACGAUGCGGCGCAAGACGCUGUUCUACACGGUGAACCUGAUCAUCCCGUGCAUGGGCAUCUCCUUCCUCACCGUUCUCGUGUUCUACCUGCCCUCGGACAGCGGGGAAAAGGUGUCUCUGUCCAUCUCCAUCCUGCUGUCGCUCACCGUGUUCUUCUUGCUGCUGGCAGAGAUCAUCCCGCCUACUUCGCUGGUGGUGCCACUGUUGGGCAAGUUUGUGCUCUUCACCAUGAUCCUCGACACGUUCAGUAUAUGCGUGACGGUGGUGGUGUUGAACGUGCACUUCCGGUCGCCGCAGACGCACACGAUGGCGCCGUGGGUGCGGCGCGUGUUCAUCCACGUGCUGCCGCGCCUGCUGGUGAUGCGCCGGCCGCACUACCGCGUCGACCCGCACCGCAGUCGCUUGGCUGGUGACGGCGGUGAGCGAGAGCACGCCCUGGGAGGACGGCUCGCCGCUGGGCGCUGGGCUGGGCCCGGGCCCGCCCGCCGCCGCCUGCUCCGCCUGCCGCUCGUGCCGCCUGCACGACGCGCCGGCGCUCUGUGACGCCCUGCGCCGCUGGCAUCGCUGCCCCGAGUUGAACAAGGCCAUUGAUGGCAUCAACUACAUUGCAGAGCAAACGCGUAAAGAAGAAGAGUCUACUAGAGUUAAAGAGGACUGGAAGUACGUGGCGAUGGUGCUGGACCGGCUGUUCCUGUGGAUCUUCACGCUGGCCGUGGUGGUGGGGUCGGCCGGCAUCAUCCUGCAGGCGCCUACGCUGUACGACGAGCGCGCGCCCAUCGACGUGC
rnacentral:misc_RNA from 1 species